GCACACGUGUUUAGUUUCCUGCAAGGCACUACGACUUUCAGUUAUUCUUCUCUGUCAACUUGACGUUAUUCGCCAGCCUAUAUACGAGAAACGCAAAACCUGCUACGGAGAUUUAUGCUCAUCCGAUCGCGUUGUUCAACUGCUGAUGGACCAAUCGAAUUCAUCAUACCGUCCAAUAUUUAUUCGUCCUGGGUAAUUUCCGUGUCAACAAGGCUAUCCAAGCACCCACAAUCGUGGAAACAUCCUUGCCUGCAGCAGAACGGAAUCGACGCUUCGGAUGGCAGAAUUAUCCUGAGAAUCACAACUGGAGGAAAACACGACCCUCCUCUACAAACAAAAACAAAUGCCCUUCAAUGAAACGGAGGUAUGGUCUUCGACUAUCGUCGCCCGUACUCGCUCAGCAAGAGUAAAGACAGCAGUUUGCAGUUCGGCACACACUAAAGAUGACAAGAAGAUGGUUAAAUUUAGAUGAUGACCAGAAAGGGGAGUGUGGAGAGCUAAACGUAAUGUAGUAUCCGAACCGAGCUAGAAACCUAGUCUAACCCCUACAAAACAUUCACAAAGUAAUGAGAACUUACUAAGUCUGGGACAAAAAUAGCGUCAUUUGAGGUAGGGUCAUGUAAUUUUGUUUGACUGUUUCUGCAGCUUUAGUUGAGGUCAAAUCUAAAAGUUCGUGACGAUUGUGAAUUAUUUGAAUAAAAAUUUCCUUGGAUAUUUUCCAUCGUCUAGUAAAAUAAUAAAAUAUAAAACGACGUUUCGGAGAUGAGGGUCUAUCUCCGUCUUCAGGUACCUACUCUACUAUUUUAUUGUUUUACUAGACUAUGGAAAAUAUCCAAGGAAAUUUUUAUUCAUUUAGUUGAGGUAUUUUUUAAAAUGAAACUCUAAUAUAACACUAUGUUGAUCUAUACAAUGAAUUAUUUUGGCCUCAUGACGAAAUUUGUACGAUACGACAUAUAAAGAAAAAGGAAAAUCUAAGGUCAUAGCUGGCCUCCCAGUCUCCACCGACAGUGGUCCACAGUGUUAACCGCAGUGAUCUGUUAGAAAUGGCUUACUUUAGUCUGGUUUUAGAAAGGAAAUCUACUUUAAAAGGAGUUAUGUCACCUACAAACCUGUGCUUUUUCUCUACCCAUGGAACUGGUCAAUUCUUGAAUUAUACCUGGUGGAAACAAUUCCUCCACAGUUGAAUAUUUUUAAAGUCAUGUCUUUAUGGGAGGUUGUUCUAAGGUUAUGUAAAGGCACAAUUUCAAACGCAGAGGUUAUUAUAACAAUUAAUGAGAUCAGAAAAAGUCACAGAAGUGGAGUGUGAAGAUAAAUGUCUUCUGGAAUGUUGCGCUGUAAAGUCUCGUAGAAACUGACCGACGUUUCAGAGGUGAGUACUAUCUCCAUCAUUAGAAUAAUACAGAACUCCCGGCACAUUAAAUAAGUUCUGUCUAACAAAAUUCUAGAUUAUGUACCAACUGUAAAUUAGUUUACGACAAAAUGCUGCUGAAAGCUAUCUUGCGCCAUAAUCCAAUGUAUAAUAAGGCAAGAAUUAAAGGGCCAUACUGUCAGUGUCGACAGUAUUUUACGGAUUCUUAAUAA